rnacentral:tRNA from 1 species
GAGUGGCUCAGUGGAAAGAGCCUGGGCUUGGGAGCCAGAUGUCAUGGGUUCGAAUCCCAGCUC